rnacentral:rRNA from 1 species
AGAGUUUGAUCAUGGCUCAGAAUGAACGUUGGCGGCGUGGAUUAGGCAUGCAAGUCGUGCGCGAUUUUACGGAUUGAAACUUCGGUCGAUUGAAGUAAUUGAAAGCGGCGAAAGGGAGAGUAACGCGUGGAUAUCUGCCCUUGGCUCCAGGAUAGCUACGGGAAACUGUAGGUAAUACUGGAUAAUAUCUCCGGAUCAAAGGUGUGAUUCCGGCCGAGGAUGAGUCCGCGUCCUAUUAGGUUGUUGGCGGGGUAAUGGCCCACCAAGCCGAAGAUGGGUACCGGGUGUGAGAGCAUGGCCCGGCUCACUGGGACUGAGACACUGCCCAGACGUCUACGGACGGCUGCAGUCGAGAAUCUUCCGCAAUGGACGAAAGUCUGACGGAGCGACGCCGCGUGCGGGAUGAAGGCCUUCGGGUUGUAAACCGCUGUCAGUUGGGAGGAAAUGCCAUAGGGUUCUCUCUAUGGUUUGACCGAUCUUCAGAGGAAGUACGGGCUAAGUUCGUGCCAGCAGCCGCGGUAAUACGAACCGUACGAACGUUAUUCGGAAUCACUGGGCUUAAAGAGUCCGUAGGCGGCUUAAAAGGUGAGGUGUGAAAUCCCACGGCUCAACCGUGGAACUGCGCUUCAAACCAUUAAGCUAGAGGGAGAUAGAGGAAAGCGGAACUGAUGGUGGAGCGGUGAAAUGCGUUGAUAUCAUCAGGAACACUGGUGGCGAAAGCGGCUUUCUGGGUCUCUUCUGACGCUGAGGGACGAAAGCUAGGGGAGCGAACGGGAUUAGAUACCCUAGUAGUCC